AUCUAUAGUUCAACGGUAGAAUAUUCGCUUCCCAAGUGAGAGCGUUCGCCCGGGGGUUCGAUUCCCCGUG
rnacentral:ncRNA from 14 species